rnacentral:rRNA from 1 species
UACGUAGGGUGCAAGCGUUGUCCGGAAUUAUUGGGCGUAAAGGGCUCGUAGGCGGUCCAUCGCGUCGGGGAGUGAAAAGCUGGGGCUUAACCCCAGUCCUGCUUCCGAUACGGGUGGACUAGAGGUAGGUAGGGGGAGAACGGAAUUCCUGGUGUAGCGGUGAAAUGCGCAGAUAUCAGGAGGAACACCGGUGGCGAAGGCGGUUCUCUGGGCCUUACCUGACGCUGAGGAGCGAAAGCAUGGGGAGCAAACAGG